ACGAAGCAGGGACUCUGCCCAAGGCUCGGGCGCCUCGCCCCACUGGGGCCCAGGAACAAAGCGCGCCCUCCCCCACCCCGGGAGUGCGCUGUGAGACCCUCAGGCGUCCUGGGCCCCGAGGCUUAAGACCACCGCGAAUCUGCUCGCCCCCAACCUCUGUGGGCAGGACCCCUGGGGCCCGGGUGACAGCUGCGCUCUGCCGCGCUACCUUCCUGGCCCCCCGAAGAUCACUCCCGCUCGCCCCAUCCUGGAGGUGUCACUGGGGCCGGGGGACGGCCAGAUGGCCCCAUUUAACAGGACUAUCCAUUUUGUUGGGGGCCGAAGCAGCGUCCAGGCCAAUUUACAUAGAAAAAUGGGGUUUGUGUCCCCAAUUCAGUGCAGUGCCCCGACAGCUGGUGGCUCUGUCAUCAUGUCAGGACCCCACAGCAUGAUGUUUAAAGUGGCUUUAUCUGUGCAGAUGUGACAAAGGAAGAGGACAUUUGAAAAGACAGUAGUUUUAGAAGGCCUUGAAAAUACCUCCAUCAAGAAGCUCUGGAUCUGCAAGGGGUGGGGGCUUUUGAAUUAAAAAAAAGAAAAAAAAGAAAAGCAGCAGCUGCUCUUGCACCUUUACCCCAGUACGCUGGAGCCACCAACAGGUAACUGCCUAGAAGACAAGGGAUCCAGAGGAAUUUUUUUCCUGCACCUUUAUACAUUCAUCAUCUUUGACUGAGACUGUAUUGGAAACAAUUCUAGCCACUAAAAUUUUCUGGAACUGUG